GUGUGCUGAUUUAAAAGCUAUUGUUUGCUGACGUUUAGUUUGUAUUUCUUAGAUGGCUCCACCAAGAAGAGACAGGCGGAGCAACAGGCAGCUAAAGUUGCUCUGCAGCAUCUGUCAGGGAUCCUCAGCUGUCCUCCAAUAUUAGAUACUGAGAAGAACUUCAAAGGUGUUCUAAAAGAGCGUCUAGAGACACUGGGUCUCAAAAAUCCGGUUUAUGACACAGAUAAUAAAGCAGAGGUCAGUGAUGAACCCAUGUCCAUCGACAUCAGCUCGGACACGAUUACUUCUACAGUAUCCAUCAGUGAGGCCGAAGUGAAAGAUCAUUCAGAGUCUGAAAGCAUCUGCACAUCAGCACAGCUCCCAUCAUCCCAAGAGUCAGUCCUUGUUACUGUUCCUGUGCAGCCGGACCCUCCAGACUCCAGCUCUCCAGCCUCACAGAGGAAAAAGCCCAGGAUUGACUGUCCAGAAAUCAAUGAGCUGUUUAACGUAUAUAAUCUCAAGCCACCACAAGUGAACAUGGAGAACAUAAAACAUGAUCAGAAUUUCAAAUGUACUGUGACAGUCAACCUGGAAAACUAUACUUGUGUCAACAAACAACAAGGUUACGACUCUAAGAGAGAAGCCACUCGAAAAGCCUACUUGUUAUUUGGCCAUGUGAUGGAAAUUUUGGAUCCUAGCUCAGAUGAAAAGAUGUGCAUUGCACUGGUGAAGCAGCACUUUUCUCAGAGGUCUCUUACUCUUCCUCAGGAAGAAGUUGAAGAAUCUGAAAAGUCAUUUUAUUGUUCACUAAAGAACAUAACUUACGAAGUGAAGUAUGACGGACAAGGAUCUUCAGAGGAUGAAGCCGAGUUACGUGCUCUCCAGAACACCUUACGUUCACUAUCACCCCUCUUUGGUUAUCCUUCACUACCUGGAGCUGAUAGUGCUGAAGAGGUUCAGAAUCAGCUGAGCUCCAUGCUGAACGGGGCCGGUCAGAGAGAGCCUGUCAUUGACCUGAAGUCUGAGGAACGGGCCUCUAUCCAGCUGUCUUUCUGUGACUAUACGCUGAAGUGCACAUGUCAAAGCAACAAGAAAGCAGCUCGAAAUCAUCUCAGUGAACGCAUACUGGGUCUGCUGGGGGUAAAGACAGAAGCAGACAGUGCACCUUUGAGAAACUCUGUAGACGAGUGGUUCAAAAAGCAGAAUCUGCCACAGCCAGUGUUUGAGGACACAGAAGAGGCGCUUGGAGCAAAGGCUACUUUCUCUGCUCAGUUAACCUGCUGCAGUCCAGGCUGGGAAGACAGCUGGGAAACUGCAAAGUCGAAGCUGCUUCACGAGCUCAAGCUCAGAUUUAGGUCUGUGGACGACAAAAACAAUUGAAAUUUAUUUCAGCUGGAAAAAAUUUUGGUCUGCAUGUCCUAGUCACCUACUCUACUGACUUGUCCUGGUGAAGAUUUUCAAACCUGGCUUGCAAUGUUAUCUAUUUUAAGGUGUUUCUUUUUCUUUCUCAAUACAAAUAUAGAUUUACAUUCUUAAAUGUACAUUUAUUUAUUACAUUUUAAAUUUCCCUGGAAUUUAAAUCAAUGGCCAUGGCAUUGAAUGAAACUAGAUGUAUUUGAAAGAUUUAUACCAGAGGUAUACUAACUAAACUCUUUUAACAUCAGAAGAAAAUUACAAAUCAACGAAAUGUAAUCGAAUGAAAAACCCGAAGUUUCGUUCAUUUUCCAAAAGGCACUGAUAUGGCACUGACUGAAAUUCCUUCAAAUUGAAUUGAGAUUCAGUUUCAGGGGUUUGUUGUCUUUGCUGGAAAACUAAUUUUAAUCUACUUCUGUGCAUAUGAUUCAAUGAGAUGAGCGGAGCUACAUUAUUAACAGUUUGUUGGUCAAGUGAAUCUAUUCAUUCCACACUUGACUGCAGAGUCAUUUUACAGUAUUUACUUGUGUUGAGAAAUUGUAUACUGUACAUGAAUCAGAUCUUCAUGGGCUUACAAGAGAAACUGAGCCAUACGAUGUGAGUUUUAAACACCAGCUUCUGUCUUUUGUAUAUUUAUUAAUCGUUUUGAUUAAUAUUGCCCUUGAACUGUUGAUUGUGCAAUUUGAAACCUGUUUACAAUGAACUACAAAAAUUUUUACAAAACGCUAUAGUUUAUCAAGUAUAGUGAGG
ensembl:lncRNA